GGGGCUGCCUGUUUGGGAUCACAGCUGUACCGACCUCUCCCGAAUUCUCUCCUAGCUCCACCCUGUGAACCAGCCAGGGAAGAUCGUCCGGGGUCACAGUCUGUCCUUGAAAGACAGAGUGUGGCUCUGGGAUGCCCGGGGGAGGGAGCCGAAGAAGAUAACCAACAUGAUUCACGACAAGAAUGAAUAAACACACCUGCUGUUCCUGAAACGUCAGGCUUCACUGUCUCUGAUAACAGUCGUCAGUACCCUGCCCGGUCUCCAGAAAAGUGCUGCUUCUGACAGCCAGGCCCUCUCGGCCCAAGGAGGGGAGCUCAAUGACCCUGACCUGUGAGGUGCAGGCCGCUUCUUGGAAGCCGGACGCCCAGCCCCAGUUCUGUUUCUUCAGAGACAGCCAGGCCCUGUGGCAGGGCUGGAGCAGCUCCCCGGAGCUCCAGCUCCCCACUGUGUGGAGGGAAGACUCGGGGUCCUACUGGUGUGAAGCGAAGACCUCAGAGCUCAGAGUCGCUCGGAGCCCCAGGAUUCAGAUACAGGUGCAAGACAACGAUGCGUCCGUGGUGCCAGGAAGAGGAUGUGGAAUACCCCCAGAAGGUUGGCUUUCGCACCCUUGCUCAAAACUCUGCACUGGAGUCCCCGUCUGGAAUGUGAGCUUGGAGACACAGCCUCCAGGGGGACAAGUGCAGAAGGGAGAGAAGCUGGUUCUCGUCUGUUUGGCCACCCAGGGCACAGGAGACAUCACCUUCUCCUGGUACAAAGGGGCCCUGGGUUUGAACCUGGAAACAAAGACCCAGCGCUCAUUGGCCGCGAAGUUUGAGAUCCCGGCGGUGACGGACAGUGACACAGAGAAAUACUACUGCGCGGCCGACAACGGCUAUGGCCCCAGCAUCAGCGAGCUGGUGAGCGUCACCGUCAGAAUCCCAGCAUCCCACCCCGUCCUCACUGUCAGGGUGCCCGGGACCCGGGCCGUGGUGGGGGACGUGGUGGAGCUUCGCUGCGAGGCCCAGAGCGGCUCUCCCCCGAUCCAGUACCGGUUUUAUCACGAGGAUGUCACCCUGGGGAGCAGCUCGGCCCCCUCUGGAGGAGGAGCGUCCUUCAACCUCUCUCUGACCCCAGAACGUUCUGGAAACUACUCCUGUGAAGCCAACAACGGCCUGGGGCCCCAGCGCAGUGAGGCGGUGCCACUCAGCGUCACAGUGCCUACGGAGGACAGGAAGGAACUUCUCGCCUCAGGAAUCCUUGAAGGGCUGCUUGGCACCCUUGGUCCCACCAUUAUUGCCCUAUUGGUCUGCUGUUGGCUCAAGAAAAGAAUAGGAGCCCUCCCAGCCCCAUGGCACAGGUGUCCAACUACGUCAACUCAGCUGCCCCACUGCAGGAACAGUCUGUAUACGAAAAUGUGAACGUCGUAAGCGGGGAAGAGGUCUACUCUUUGGUGUACCAUACGCAACAGGAGCGGCAAGCAGCAGUAGAACCCCAGAGGACACAUACCACGGACCAGGAUGCCUCAGCCAUCUAUUUUAGGCUGAAGAAGGCAAGCGUUGCAGAUGUGGACUAUGAAGACGCUAUGUAAAAUUCUGGAAGAUUCUGCUCUUUGGAAACCAUCCAUGACCCCAAGCCUCAGAACCAGUAUGUUCUUCAGAGAUCCUGAGGUAGUCUGCUUUCCAGGACUUCUCAUCCAGGUGCUUCCCCCCAGAGACUAUUCCUGCAACUACCGUGAAACAGGUGGUUCUAGCCCUGAAGAAACCACCCAAAGAACCACAAUGAAUGCAGGGGUGGGACCCGACUCCUACUGGUUGUUUUAGGCACAGGUCAAAUUGUGCUCUAGCUUCUUUCUCUAAGAGGAAACAGGGUGGGUGACCUUGGGGUGGAGGGACAGUGAAGCUCACUCAGAGUGCAUGGACACGAGGUUAGCGAUUCUGCGGGGCAGCUGCGCACAGAGAUGGGUGCCCAUCCUCUUGUCCAAGUGCAGACAAGCUCGGCACUGAACUCCAGAACAGAACUCCAGCCCCGACACUUACAUGACUCAUCCUGUUUCUGCAUAAAAUAUGUGACUCUGUGCAUUUGGGGUCACUGCUCCCAAAUUAGAAUUCAAACAAAGUUUUGUAAAGUUACUGUGGGUACAUUCAAUCUUAGUGACAUAUUUUGUAUGCACAAACUAACCUAGAUGCCCCCAUAUUUGUAACGAGAUACAAUCUUUGUAAGUUUCACGACACCCAAAGUUCUGUAUUUGUUGCACCUCUAGAAGCUUUACGAAUAUAAUUUUUCUUCUUUUAUGCAUGAACUUUAAAAAAUGUGGCAAUACAAUUUGGAGUCUAUGUUUUAAUUUAAAACAAUUAUACACCAACUCUUACAAAUUAAAACAAUUUAGAAAUAUAUAAUGUAAAAUGUUAGAGCCUUCCCUGUAUCUAACACCACGAGUGGUAUCCAUUGUUUAAAAACAACAUUGUUAAUGAAAUACUAUCGUAAUAUAUUUUAAUCUUUUCAAUUGCUGAUGGACAUUAGGUGGUUUCCAAAAACUUUAUAUUACAAAAACAAUACUAAAAUAAAUGUUCUUGCACAAACGUA